UGUUUGCAUCUGUUUCUUUAGUCGUUCUAGCUGGAUUUAUUUUUUCCUUUUUUACCCCAUUUAGUUACCAAAAAAUAAAAAUAAAAACCCUCAUUUUCCUCACAUGCCUUCCAAGUUCCGAGAUAGCGUUAGUAAGAACAGGACACCUUAGGGUCGGACUAACAAACAAGCUUAAGUGCCUACCCACCCCCACCCCCUACACCUAUAUAUAACGCCAAAUAGGUCACAUUUCAUUCCAAACCCAAAUGCCUCCUUUUAAAUCCAAUCAAAUAAAAGGGGUCAAUUGGUAGUUCACAUGGUGAUAGAUGAUAAGAUGAAUACUUUGGAUGAAUUUUUUUGGUUAUCUUGUAUGGAGGGCAGGUUGUUUCAUGGAAGAAUGAUCACCGUGAAGAACUCCUUCUCACAAGUAGUAAGUCAGAGGAAGCUAGGUUAUGUGAUAGAGGAGCGGGAAUAGCUUGAAAGGAACAUAAGAGAAAAAAAAAGGAGUGCUGUUCGAAUCUGUUCUCUCAUUUUUGGAUAAGUUGUAGAGGAAGAAAGGAUUGGAUGAAGACUACAAAGAGCAUUUUUUGUUGAGAUGUUAAGAGGAAUUUCUUAUGGACUACUCUAUAUUUGAUUUGUAGGUUGUUAAAAAAAGAAGACAUCUACUCAAAAGGAAGAAUGAAUAUAAUGAGGGUUCACUGUUGUGUUUUUUUUUUUUUUUUUUUUUUAAAUGAUGAU